ensembl:lncRNA
GUGUGUGAUGUGAUGGAGGUGUGGUGAUGUGAUGGUGGUGUGAUGGAGGUGUGUGAUGUGAUGGUGGUGUGUGAUGUGAUGGAGGUGUGUGAUGUGAUGGUGGUGUGAUGGAGGUGUGUGAAUGUGAUGGAGGUGUGUGAUGUGAUGGUGGUGUGUGAUGUGAUGGAGGUGUGUGAUGUGAUGGAGGUGUGUGAUGUGAUGGUGGUGUGAUGGAGGUGUGUGAUGUGAUGGAGGUGUGUGAUGUGAUGGUGGUGUGAUGUGAUGGAGGUGUGUGAUGUGAUGGUGGUGUGAUGGAG